rnacentral:rRNA from 1 species
GAUGAACGCUGGCGGCGUGCCUAACACAUGCAAGUCGAGCGAUUCACUUCGGUGAAGAGCGGCGGACAGGUGAGUAACGCGUGGGUAACCUGCCUCAUACACAUGGAUAACAUACCGAAAGGUAUGCUAAUACAAGAUGAUAUAAGAGAUUCGCAUGGAUUUCUUAUCAAAGCUCCGGCGGUAUGAGAUGGACCCGCGUCUGAUUAGCUAGUUGGUAAGGUAACGGCUUACCAAGGCGACAAUCAGUAGCCGACCUGAGAGGGUGAUCGGCCACAUUGGAACUGAGACACGGUCCAAACUCCUACGGGAGGCAGCAGUGGGGAAUAUUGCACAAUGGGCGAAAGCCUGAUGCAGCAACGCCGCGUGAGCGAUGAAGGCCUUCGGGUCGUAAAGCUCUGUCCUCAAGGAAGAUAAUGACGGUACUUGAGGAGGAAGCCCCGGCUAACUACGUGCCAGCAGCCGCGGUAAUACGUAGGGGGCUAGCGUUAUCCGGAUUUACUGGGCGUAAAGGGUGCGUAGGUGGUUUCUUAAGUCAGGAGUGAAAGGCUACGGCUCAACCGUAGUAAGCUCUUGAAACUGGGAAACUUGAGUGCAGGAGAGGAAAGUGGAAUUCCUAGUGUAGCGGUGAAAUGCGUAGAUAUUAGGAG